rnacentral:ncRNA from 1 species
CAAAUAGAGGCGCAAGGACUAUGAAUUCAGUAUUAUAUAAAUGGGUGCAGCCAGAUAUUGAAGGAGGAGGAUUGCCGAAGGAGUCAGGAUCUGCAUGGUUUGGCUAACUGGUGGGCUAGAGAAUAUCUAUCUCACUGUCACAAGACAUCUUGUGGAGAGCUAUUGA